UACGUAGGGGGCAAGCGUUGUCCGGAUUUAUUGGGCGUAAAGAGCAGUGUAGGCGGCCUGACAGGUCUGCUGUGAAAACUCGAGGCUCAAACCUCGAGAUGUCGGCGGAAACCCGUCUGGCUAGAGUCCGGAAGAGGAGAGUGGAAUUCCUGGUGUAGCGGUGAAAUGCGCAGAUAUCAGGAAGAACACCUAUGGCGAAGGCAGCGUCUCUGGGACGGUACUGACGCUGAGACGCGAAAGCGUGGGGAGCGAACAGG
rnacentral:rRNA from 1 species